UAAUAUUAAUUUUAUGUAUCUAUUUAUAGAUCUAAGUUUAAUUUUAUGUAUCGAUUAUUAAUUUGACCAAUAAAGUAUCAAUUUCAUACAUUAUAUUCAAAUGCAUGUGUCAUCCUACGUGUUAUUUUUCGUCCUACAUGCUGUCCUACGUGUAUUGUUCCAUGUAGGACUUAUUUGUUUAUUUAUUCAAAAGUUGGAUAAUUAAAGUGUCUGUUUGUGCAUUAUGAAAGUUGGAGGUCAAAGUUAAAAUUUGAAGCCAAGUUUAUGUCAAAUAUAUGUAUUAUGUCUUUUUGAAUUAUGAGCCAUUAAAAUGGAGCAAACAAUAUAAAACCCCUACAAGAAAUUGACUAGAAAAAAUCUAAACCAUCAAAUCAAAUACAUGAUACGAUUUAAAAUAAAUAUACAAUAGAAAAAACUAAAGAUAAUAUUACAUUGUCACUUUAACUUAUGCUAAUUAUGUAGAGUUUGAUAUGAAUUUAGCAUAUGCAGAAUUUUUUUUAAAGUGGUAUUCUAUUUAAUAUUUCUAAAAAUAGAGAAAAAGCAUGUAUAUGUGGUAGGUAAGUAUGGGCAGAUAUGUAGUUUUCCUUGUUUGAAUGCUCAGAUCUACGUGGCCUAAGGCCUAACAUCAACACGUGAUAAGCAGAAAUUUGUUGGUGGAUUGUUGAGUUUUUCAAGUUCGUUUCAGUAGAUAAGAAUAAUUGAUGGUUGCAGAAGCUGGAUUUUUCCAUGUUUGUUGCUAAGCAGAAGUUGUUGAUUUCGAUUUUCACUGGUGCUGAAAAUCACUGAAUCGAAGGAAGCUUUCAAGAGGAGGUUGAUUGCGAGGAUAGAGUAUGCAAAAUUUCUUCAAGACACUGUCAAGGCCUCAUCGUAUAUGGAAUUGGAUUUUUUUUAUCUUCAAUGCAUCUGUGAAAAAAGUUGAAAUAAAAGAGUAGGAUGGUCAUAGUAAUGUUCUUCUUGUUGCUGGACCUUCUGGUGUUUGACCCUACUUGUGCAAUUAGUCCUCAUUCUAACAGCCAUAGUGAUGUCAAACUAUGAUGACUCUGCAGACUUUAAGCACACGCUGCUGGGACGGACUCCUUCUAUCUCUUCAUAGUGCUGGUGCUUGUAAGGUUGCGUUCCUCGAUAGACUUACUUUGGAUUUUCAUCUGUUUAUCUUGAAUCAAAUGUCAAACAUCCCCUAUGAGUAUGAAAACAGGAUAAAUCAGCUUCCUUGGCUAAUUUUAAGCAAUUUAACCUGCAAUACGUCAACAUCACCCACAGCCUGCAGGCCAAAGAGCACAAAAUAGUUCACUCUUUGAAAUCCACAAAUUGAGUUAGAGGAGUCUUUGACGGUAAAACGCCAGGGGAGUUUAUUACUUUUCAUAGGUCAACUUCAACCCUGUCACUGUUAAUUCAAUCAAGAAAACACUUACAGCUAUAUGCAGAAAGGAGCAGUGUGAAGUUGGCACUGAUUCGAUUGAUCUAAUAGCCAAAGCUAGUGGAGGUGAUAUCAGACAGGCAAUUAAUUCUCUGUAGUAUCUCUGUCUUAAACCACAUAAAAGGCCUAUUCUAUCGUCAAAAGAAAGACUGGAUAAUGCUGGUUGUUUGGAUGAUGUGUUUGGUAUUCCAUUUGAAAAGAUGAAACUCUCUCUAUUCCAUGCAUUAGGCAAGUUUCUACACAACAAAAGACAAAGUGAGCACACAAUUACAUCAGUGGGCUAACAACCUUUGUCAAGGAGCCGCGCUUCCACUACCCCUUCCUCUAAAGCCAGCUGAUUUUAGUGACAAUAAUCAUAGUCAAACCUGUUGAGGUUGCUUAAAGUGCUGCAAGUCCCUUCUUGAGUUUCAUUGUUAUUGAUUUGAAGUUUAAGCAAGUUUAUGUAGUGAUUUGAAGUUAUAGCAAGUUUUUGCAGUGAUUUGCAGUUCAAGCAAGUUUUUGUUGUGAUAUGAAAUUUCUUCUCAUCAUAAUGGUUGAAGCAAAUGACAUAUUUCAAUUAAGUUUGUAAAACUAAUUGUACACUUUAUGAUACACUUUUAUGUUGAAAUAUUGUGUUAUUUCUUAAUACUGAAGUGCCCUUUUAGGUUUGACAUUGAUGCACAUGUUAGUUAAUUAAUUUAUUAUUAGUAUCUAAAAUUGAAUAUUCCAGGCAAAUGUUAAAAAAAAGUUAUAUUUCAAAAAUUGAAGGAGUUUAAGCUCUUGUUAAUUUUAAUAUAAAAUUUAUUAAUUGUGGGGUUUUUGACUCCCCCGAGUUCACAAAUUGUUGGGGUUCUGACUCCAACUCCUAGAAUUUGAAAUGCGGUUGGGGUUCGAAAUCCCCGCUAGCAAACCCCUACUAAUGGUACCAGCAGUUGCCAAGAAACCCCCGUGACUUAAUUGUGACACACCUAAUUCCAGGAGUUUAUUAAACUCCCGCAACACUAAAUUGCGGGGGUUAUUGACUCUUACAGUAUGUAAUUAUAACUACCAAAAUUUGAGUCUUUUUUUGUAGUGAGGGUUGUGUUGUAAAAUUUACUUUUUGGAUGUUUAGUAUCUUAUCUAGUAUCAGGCCCUCUGUAGUGGACAUGGUCCCACUAUAACAACGCUUAGACCGCUAUAGCGGGGUAAGUUACCGCUAUAGUGGCGCCGCCAUAGCGAGCUUAGGGAAGCUAUAGAAAGAGAAUCGGGAUUUUAUGCAGUAAAAAAACCCAAAACCACUAUUUUCUGCAUUUUGAGUUCUUGAACAUGGGAGGUCCAAUUUUGAACAAAUUACAUCAAUUUUCUUAUAGAGUUCAUCGAUAAAGGUAAGAAUCUAGGUUAUUGCUAUUUGGGGAAGGUUUUGACAUGAUUUCAUGGUGGGAAAGAACUCUAAGUUGGAGAAGAUGAUCAUAUUUUAGUCGGGGAGGAUUUGCUAAUAAUCCAAUAAAUUAAUGUGCCAUUUGUGAUUGAUUGUUAUUUGUAUUGUUUUUUUAGACCAAGAAUAAGUUGAUGCACUUCGCAAGGGAAAAAUAGGGUGAUUUAGAGUUUUCAAGAGAUUUGAUUUAAAAUAGGUGAUGGUUGUACAUUUUCGAUCUAUGUGUUUAUGCAUGUUUAUUUUUUUGUAAUAUCGAUUGUGCAAUGAAUGACACAGAAACAUAUGAAAUGGCAUCGUGUAGAUAAUCUCAAGCAAUGAAUUUGUGAUUGUGACUUGUGGUUUCUGAUUAGCCUUGUUCAUUGUGCUAUAUGAUUGUGCAUGAUUUUUUGUGAUUGUUGGUUUGCUCGGGUAUUACACCAGUACACUAACUAUGGGUGGCUUGGGUAACACACUGAUAUACUUGACAUGAAAGGUAUGUGUUGAGACGUCAAGGAUAGGGCUUGUAUUGUAAAAAUGGCCUUUUUUAGAUGUUAAACAUCUGAUCUAGUGUCAAACCCUCUUGUAGUGGAUGGGGUCCCUCUAUAGCGACACUUAGACCUCUAUAGAAUGGUAAAAUACAGCUAUAGUGAUAAAAUAAAAAUUUUAUGCCAAAAAAACUCAUUAUCCCUAUUUUCCACACUAUUAGUUCUUGAACUUGGGAGGGGCAAUUUUGGACAGUUUGCAUCACUUUUCUCGCGGAAUUCAUUGAUUGGUAAAAUUCGAUUCUUCAACCUUGUAAAUUAAUUUAAAGCUAUAGAAUCAAUGAUAGUGGUAUAUAUUGAGGGAAGGUGUCAACAUGAUUUCACGGUGGGAAAGAUCAUUAUGUUGGGAAUAUUAUCAUAUUCUGGUCGAGUUAGGAUUUAUUAAUAAUUUGGGCUAAUUAAUAUGCAAUUAGUUAUUGAUUGUUGCUCACUUGUUUGUAUUGUUUGUUUUAGACUAAGAACACGCUAAUACACUUCACAAGGGGAAAACUUGGGUUAUUUAGAGCUUCCAGGGGGCUUGAUUCAAAAAGGGUGAAGGUUGUAUGUGUAUGAUUUAUGUAUGUAUGUAUGUGUAUUGCUUUGUAGUAUCAUCUGUGAAAUGCAUGGUGGAGAGACAUAUGAAAUGUCAUCAUGUAGGUAAUCUCAUGCAACAAACUUGUAAUUAUGACUUGUGGUUUUCAAGUGGUGUUGUUCACUAUGCUUGUGAUUGUGCAUGCUUGUUUUUUAUUGUUGGCGGGAUUGGGUACCACGCGGGUACACUAAUUAUGUAUGGAUCAAGUACCACACUGGUACACUAUCUAUGUAUGACUGACAUACCACGCUGGCAUACUAACUAUAGAUAAGUCGAGUAUCUCACCAAUAUACGAAUAACUUGGGUUUGGGUUGUGUGAGAGAAUCAGGUGUGUGAUUGUGGUAUUAUGAAAGGACUAAUAUUUUUAUUGUGAUCAUGUGGGACUUAUAGUUAUGCAUUGUUUGACUGAAGUGUUUUUGUUUCAUAACGUGUGACUGAAAGGCUAUGUGGUAGAUAACUGUUGUUAUGUCAUGCAUUGUUCUUUAUUACUAUAUUGUAGUGACUAUUUACAUUUAUAUCUUAGAUUGAUCUCAUGGUUCUACCAGUUCACUAUGGUUUAUAUAUUAAUACUACACAUGUGCUUUUCCUUUUUGAGUAUAAGGAAUCUUCCAGCAAUUGAUCUGAGACCAUAAUUAAGAGACGCCUCAUUUCGAGUCCAAUGGUGAGCUUUGUCUUUUAGGUUACCAUAGAUUCUUCGUCAUCUUAUUGUCCAUUUGUUCGGACAUAAACUUAUAGACUUUAGGCCAUGGUUAGUUUCGGAGUUGCAUCCGAGAUUGACAAUUUUAGAUUUUGGUAUGAUGAAUUUUAGUUCUUAGAGUUAAUUUCCACAUCAAAAUGAUUGGGUUGAGUUUAUGGGGACUCGGUUCUCUUCUUAAGAGAAUUGUUCUCUUUAUUAUAUGCUAAAACUUAAUUUCAUGUAUAUAAUGUUGAGUUGCUUUCGAGUUAGUCUUUGAUUUUCCCACCAGGUUCGUUGUGAAUGAUUCAAAUAAGGUCGUCAAUUGUGUAUCUAGGGUUAUUGAAAGGCAAGUGAGGAGGUUAUUUGAGAAAGCUUGAAAAAAUCAAAAUAAGUAGACUUGAAAAAGAGUCUAUACAAUCUUUGACUAUGUAGUAUUCCAUAUUCGAGUGUAUUUGUUGCAUUAUGUAUGCCAUGUUUUGCAUUCGUCCUGAUACUUCAUAUCUUAUUAGUGUUGUGAGUGGAUACAUGACAUAUCCUGGCAAAGAACAUUGACAUGCACUAAAUGAUAUCGUGAGAUACUUGAAGGGUAGUGAAUAUGUAGUCAUGAAUUUUUCGGAAGGUAAGCUAAGUGAAUCAAUAGCAGGUUAUGUGGGUAUAGAAUUGGCAACUUGUAUAAGAUAAAAAUCUAUGACAAGUUAUGAUUUUUUCUCUUUGAUAGUGCCAUCAAUUGGAUGGAAGCUUUGCAAUGUGGUGUUUUCCUAUCUAUCGCAGAGGUUGAGUAUAUGGAAAUUACUGAGGUGGUGAAAGAGGUUCUAUGGUUUCAAGGCUUGAAGCAGAUAAAACAUAUGAUAGUCAAACAUCAUUUUAUUCAAGAUAUUAUAACUUACGACGUUGUUGAUGUGAAGAAAGUGUUUCAUAAUAAUCAAAGAGAUAUGAUGAGCAAGACAGUCCUGACUAAUAAGUUUAGGUGUUUCCUAGACUUGCAUUGGUGUGAUUUGUACUAAGUAAGUCAUUUCAAAAGCUGAGGGUGAGGAGAAAGACGUUAUCCUAUUAAUGAAGGGAAUUCAAGCCAAGGGGAAGAUUCAUUAAUUAUGUCUUUAAUAUUUCCAUUGUAUAUUUUAAGAAACUCAUUAUCCCUAUUGAUUUAGGAGACCCUUAUUUCUAAUAGAUUUGAGAAAGGAAUAUAUUGUCCUUAUAGAA